rnacentral:misc_RNA from 1 species
AAGUCGUAACAAGGUUUCCGGAGGUGAACCUGCGGAACAACCUUGUGAACCUUCAGCGUGUUCUUGCAGGACAUCAAAACAGCAAUCCCGAGUAAAUCAGGCGCUAAAAAAUUACAGGUUUUGGUUUUGGGAAGUACGUGGACGCUGCAAUUGAGCGCUAGAUAAAGCACCCUGGUACGGCAGGGAUCAGUGUUCAGGGUGGCGCAGCCAACGAUCGCUGUAGGUCCACACGACCGACGACCGGGGUGGAGGCGAAAGCCCCUUAGGGACUUGUCGAAAGCUGACUCCGUGAUAAAUCGAACAACUGUUAUAUCUUGGUCUC